GUGGGGAAUAUUGGACAAUGGGCGCAAGCCUGAUCCAGCCAUGCCGCGUGAGUGAUGAAGGCCUUAGGGUUGUAAAGCUCUUUUGUCCGGGAAGAUAAUGACUGUACCGGAAGAAUAAGCCCCGGCUAACUUCGUGCCAGCAGCCGCGGUAAUACGAAGGGGGCUAGCGUUGCUCGGAAUCACUGGGCGUAAAGGGCGCGUAGGCGGACUUUUAAGUCGGAGGUGAAAGCCCAGGGCUCAACCCUGGAAUAGCCUUCGAUACUGGGAGUCUUGAGUUCGGAAGAGGUUGGUGGAACUGCGAGUGUAGAGGUGAAAUUCGUAGAUAUUCGCAAGAACACCGGUGGCGAAGGCGGCCAACUGGUCCGAAACUGACGCUGAGGCGCGAAAGCGUGGGGAGCAAACAGGAUUAGAAACCCUAGUAGUCC
rnacentral:rRNA from 1 species